CCGGAUGGCCUGGCACGCGCAGGCGCUCCGCGAGGACUCCCCACCGCCAGGACGCAGAGCCGACUGAGCUCGCGGGCUCUGGCGAAAGGGUAUUGGGAAGCAGACCCCGGCGAAGAGUAGUCAGGAGCUGUUGGACGGGGCCGAGAGACGACGUAGUGGAGUCUGAAGGGGCCGGGGUCACAGGGAGAGGCAUAUGAGGGCAGAAGCACCCUUCUCACAGACUGGGCUGACGGUUGAGCAAAAAAGGGGCGUGAACUUUGAGUAUUUGCAUGAAAAGAAGGUGGAGCCCAGAUGGGGAGCACCUCCUCUUCCUCCUGCCCGAGCGCGGUCGUCCUGCCUCCCAGGCGGAAAAAGCAUUUCGCGGGCUUUCCAACUGCCCGCUAAUUCCGCUCCCCCUCCCUCCAGCCGUGACUCCGCGCUUUUUGGCCCGCCCGCCGGGCUGUGCGCAGGCGCUUCGGGUAGGGGCGGGGCGCGCGUCAUGGACGUUACUGGGGGGGCACGGCAGGCCAAUCAGAGGAUUUCAUUUCCGGGUGGCGCGGGCGCCAUUUUGUGAGGAGCGAUAUAAACGGGCGCUGGGGCCGGCCACCCGCUCAGUUGUUGCUCAGGUGCGCUCGCUGGCGGAGCUUUGCUGCCGUGUUUUCCUGCAAGGCCUUUCCCAGCGUCCCCACGCGGAAAGCAACUGCAUAAGAGGCGAGGCGUCGCACCGCCCAGAGCUGAGGAAGUCGGCGCCAGUUCGUGGGGCUCCGGGCCGCCAGUCAGAGCCAUGAGCUACGGCCGCCCCCCUCCCGAUGUGGAGGGUAUGACCUCCCUCAAGGUGGACAACCUGACCUACCGCACCUCACCCGACACGCUGAGGCGCGUCUUCGAAAAGUACGGGCGCGUUGGCGACGUGUACAUCCCGCGGGACCGCUACACCAAGGAGUCCCGCGGCUUCGCCUUCGUCCGCUUCCACGACAAGCGGGACGCCGAGGACGCUAUGGAUGCCAUGGACGGAGCCGUGCUGGACGGCCGCGAGCUGCGGGUGCAAAUGGCGCGCUACGGCCGCCCCCCGGACUCACACCACAGCCGCCGGGGACCGCCACCCCGCAGGUAUGGGGGCGGUGGCUACGGACGCCGGAGCCGCAGCCCUAGGCGGCGUCGCCGCAGCCGAUCCCGGAGUCGGAGCCGUUCCAGGUCCCGCAGCCGAUCUCGCUACAGCCGCUCGAAGUCUCGGUCCCGCACUCGCUCUCGCUCUCGGUCGACCUCCAAGUCCAGAUCCGCGCGAAGGUCCAAGUCCAAGUCCUCCUCGGUCUCCAGAUCUCGCUCGCGGUCCAGGUCCCGAUCUCGGUCCAGGAGUCCUCCGCCGGUGUCCAAGAGGGAAUCCAAAUCCAGGUCGCGAUCCAAGAGUCCUCCUAAGAGUCCUGAAGAGGAAGGAGCUGUGUCCUCUUAAGAAAAUGGUAAUGUCUGGGAAUCCGAGACACAACCCUAAUUCAUAAAUGGGAUUUGGGGUAGGUCUUUUUGAGCCGUGUUAAUGUAAGAAUGACUCCUGUCGUUAGGAGUGCUGCUCGGAGGUUACUCACCUUUGGGAGUAAUACUGAAGAGAGGGGUCUGCAGAAAGGAUGUGUAUGAAGCUUAGAUAAUAAUGGCUGUUUCAUAAACUGUUUGAGACCUAUUAAUGAAAAUGACUAUUUCUUGCUGUUUUUAUCCAACGUCUGCAUUUUCCCCCUUUAAAGCUGCGGUCUCCUGUUUGAUAAAAGAAUAUUGGCCAGUAUUGCAGAUUUUAACUGAUUUGGCUGAUCCUCCAGGGACCAGUUUCUGUGGGCGUGUAUUGGAGCAGAUGUAUCGGCAAGCAGUGUAAACGGAGGACUUGGGGAAAAAGGACCACAUACUCAGUCCAUCGAAGAAGAGUCCUUGGAACAAGCAACUGGCUAUUGAAAAGGUUAUUUUGUAACAUUUGUCUAACUUUUUACUUGUUUAAGCUUUGCCUCAGUUGGCAAACUUCAUUUUAUGUGCCAUUUUGUUGCUGUUAUUCAAAUUUCUUGUAAUUUAGUGAGGUGAACGACUUCAGAUUUCAUUAUUGGAUUUGGAUAUUUGAGGUAAAAUUUCAUUUUGUUACAUAGUGCUGACUUUUUUUGUUUGAAAUUAAACAGAUUGGUAACCUAAUUUGUGGCCUCCUGACUUUUAAGGAAAACGUGUGCAGCCAUUACACACAGCCUAAAGCUGUCAAGAGAUUGACUCAGCAUUGCCUUCAUUCCUUAAAAUUAAAAACCUACAAAAGUUGGUGUAAAUUUGUAUAUGUUAUUUACCUUCAGAUCUAAAUGGUAAUCUGAACCCAAAUUUGUAUAAAGACUUUUCAGGUGAAAAGACUUGAUUUUUUGAAAGGAUUGUUUAUCAAACACAAUUCUAAUCUCUUCUCUUAUGUAUUUUUGUGCACUAGGCGCAGUUGUGUAGCAGUUGAGUAAUGCUGGUUAGCUGUUAAGGUGGCGUGUUGCAGUGCAGAGUGCUUGGCUGUUUCCUGUUUUCUCCCGAUUGCUCCUGUGUAAAGAUGCCUUGUCGUGCAGAAACAAAUGGCUGUCCAGUUUAUUAAAAUGCCUGACAACUGCACUUCCAGUCACCCGGGCCUUGCAUAUAAAUAACGGAGCAUACAGUGAGCACAUCUAGCUGAUGAUAAAUACACCUUUUUUUCCCUCUUACCCCUAAAAAUGGUAAAUCUGAUCAUAUCUACAUGUAUGAACUUAACAUGGAAAAUGUUAAGGAAGCAAAUGGUUGUAACUUUGUAAGUACUUAUAACAUGGUGUAUCUUUUUGCUGAUGAAUAUUCUGUAUUAUAACCAUUGUUUCUGUAGUUUAAUUAAAACAUUUUCUUGGUGUUA